rnacentral:rRNA from 1 species
CCUACGGGAGGCAGCAGUGAGGAAUAUUGUGCAAUGGGCGAAAGCCUGACGCAGCGACGCCGCGUGAGGGAUGAAGGUCUUCGGAUCGUAAACCUCUGUCAGCAGGGAAGAACGGUCACUGUGCUAAUCAGCAGUGAAUUGAUGGUACCUGCAAAGGAAGCACCGGCUAACUCCGUGCCAGCAGCCGCGGUAAUACGGAGGGUGCGAGCGUUAAUCGGAAUUACUGGGCGUAAAGCGCUCGUAGGCGGUAUGUCAAGUCAAGGGUGAAAUCCCCGCGCUCAACGUGGGAACUGCCUUUGAAACUGGCAAACUUGAGUGUGUGAGAGGAUGGUGGAAUUCCAGGUGUAGGAGUGAAAUCCGUAGAUAUCUGGAGGAACAUCAGUGGCGAAGGCGACUAUCUGGCACAUAACUGACGCUGAGGAGCGAAAGCGUGGGUAGCAAACAGGAUUAGAUACCCGGGUAGUC